UACGGGGGGGGCAAGCGUUGUUCGGAAUUACUGGGCGUAAAGCGUGCGCAGGCGGCCAUGCAAGACAGAUGUGAAAUCCCCGGGCUCAACCUGGGAAUGGCAUUUGGGACUGCAAGGCUUGAGUGUGGCAGAGGAGACUGGAAUUCCUGGUGUAGCAGUGAAAUGCGUAGAUAUCAGGAGGAACACCGAUGGCGAAGGCAGGUCUCUGGGCUAACACUGACGCUCAUGCACGAAAGCGUGGGGAGCAAACAGG
rnacentral:rRNA from 1 species